CAGUGCCGAGAUCUCGACGGAGUGCCGGGCAUUUCCGAAUUUUAAAUUGUUUUGGUGAAGAAGUGGACAAGCAAGGAAGAAAAAUUGAAGACAUUUUUUUAUCAAACUUACCUUUAUUGGAAGGUAUUAUGCUUUAUUUAAUAUCAAUCCUUGUAGUAGAGUACUUAGAUUGCCAAUAUAGAUGGAAAUUUAAGACAUCGAGCCCGAAUUUAAUGCGAUAUUGCGGCAUAAAGUUUGUGCUUUUGCUUUGCACGUGGUUCACUAAUAUGGGCGAUUUUCUAACUUUGUUAAAGUAAAUUAAAUGUCCAUCAAGUGAGUAAAAAGACUACUAAGAUCUAGAAUUGUUUAAGUUGUCGAAAAAACUUGUUAUUUCUGAGUUCUUGCAGAAAAUUUUUACAUUAUAAAAUGCCGUGUACAGAGACGAGGUGCUUGGUGCCAGUUGGUGGGACGAAUAUUUCUAUUUCAUCAGCUUGUACAUUUCAAUAUUGCGACAAAAUAUUUUAACAAUAUGGUGUUUUUGUUCAUUUUAUAAUAUGCAGAAAAGGCCUUGCUUUAGCAACGUUACAACGUAUUUGAUUCUUGUUUCCAAAACAAAGUUAAUUAGAAAUAAAACUAAAGGUCUGUCUAAAUUAAACGGAUCCAACAUUGUUGGGCCAACAUCAUCCAACAAUGUUAUGCAUGAGUCAAUUCCAACUGCGAUCAUUGACCAGUCAUUGACCAGCAAUUGCCGUGAUCAGUUGGCAUUGCCACAACAUAUAAACAUUUCAAGAAGCAAUGACUGGGUCUGUGUCGGGAAACAGACAAUAUUUUUGGCAUCAAGUUCGACCCUGUUUACACAGUACUGGACGAAUUUGGGACCAGCCUGAAAUUCGUCCUUUUCGGCCGCGUAAACACGCGAAAACAACGGAACAGGAGGAAUUUGUGUGUAAACAGGCGAAAAAGGACGAAUUUCAGACUGGUCCCAAAUUUGUCUGGUACCGUGUAAACAGGGUCUUACAUCGUAAAGCAAAUAACAAAAAAUAGGGUAGGCAGGUAAGCAAACAACCCCAACCACAUCAUGAAAAAAAUAUAAAAUAGGGUUGGCUGGAAAACCAAAACUACAGGAUAUUGUUUUGUUUCAGGCUCUGAUGUUCAUAUUGUGUUUUUCAUCUCACUAACUAACCAAGCUAUUCACACUCUUAGUUAAAUUCUCAUAAAUUUUUGUAGAUGUGCAGUGCAAAUUCCAAGAAUGUUGCAAGACCUCAUGAUUUCGAAAAAUGAACACAUUCCAAGAUCCUGAAUAAGAGGUAAAUUUUUCUUCUAAUUUUUUGUAACUUUCUCCUUGUAUUUCUUUGACAAUUCUCUUUGUAAUUUAUUAAUUUGUUUCAUGUUCUCAAUAAUGAGUUUUUAAAAUUUUCUAGAUGUGUGUUGCAAUUUCCAAGAAUGUCUCAAGUUGUUGGCUGAAGUGUUUUUGAUUACAAAAAUAAACACUGUCAUUGGAAAGUAUAUAAAAGGUCUUAAUAUUUUUCUGUCUUAUCUUACAUGAAAUGAUUUGAACAUUAUAUGAUUGCUUGUGAUCAAUAGUUUCAAAAAUUCCAGCAGAAUAUUGCAAAAAUAGCAUGACCAUGUUACUUAUGACACAAAAUACAACAAAAGUAAUAAAUGCAAUCUUUACACCUAAAUAUGGUGAAUGCACAAUAAUUGCACUCUUUUUGUCCCAGAGCCAACAGUGUAGAGCGCCGUUCCAGGCGUUAUCUUGGGACGAGGGUACUAAUUUAUUAUAAUUUACACCACUAUUUCGACUUGUAUUAAUUUGGAAAAUUUCAGUUUCAUGGUCCCUCAAUUACUUGAUUAAGUUUCAUGUUGCCACUGAUCACAGAAUGUCUAUAAUUUUCAAAGCAUAUAAGCAUUUUAUGUGCAAGUCAGAAAAUGACAAAGUUUUUGUCAAAUAUAAAAAAUGAAAAGUUUGUCAGUAUUUGGCUUUGUUGCAUCAGUUAAACAUUGAGAAGAUUGAGGUGGUUUUUAUUACAAGCCAAAGCGGUUACUUACAAAUAAGGCAUGCGACUUUAUUAGUUUUAAUUCAGGAUUGAGUGUUUUCUUUUAGUCAUGUUUCAGUAUUAUUUUGGAGUAUGUUUUCAUUAAAAGAAUUAAAAGAACAUUGAUGAACAUUUGUCUCAUCAUAAUUUGUGUUUUGAACUUAUCAAAGUGCAGUGUGAAAACA
rnacentral:lncRNA from 1 species